AAAUUGAAGAGUUUGAUCAUGGCUCAGAUUGAACGCUGGCGGCAGGCCUAACACAUGCAAGUCGAACGGUAACAGGAAGCAGCUUGCUGCUUCGCUGACGAGUGGCGGACGGGUGAGUAAUGUCUGGGAAAUUGCCUGAUGGAGGGGGAUAACUACUGGAAACGGUAGCUAAUACCGCAUAAUGUCGCAAGACCAAAGAGGGGGACCUUCGGGCCUCUUGCCAUCGGAUGUGCCCAGAUGGGAUUAGCUUGUUGGUGGGGUAACGGCUCACC
rnacentral:rRNA from 1 species